AGAGGCAGGCGCCCACACAGGCUUCAGAAGAGGCCCUUUCUGCUUCCGUUUUAUUUGUUUUUAGGAAAGGACAUUACCUUGGGGAACCACAUUUCUAGGCUUCCUCCAGGAGUCAUCCCAAUGCGGUCUGCCUGUUGUUUGACUCUCCGGACGUCACUGACCCCAUCCUUAAGGAUUUUUGCUUCCUGUCCUGGCACCUUUGAGCUCUGCUUGUCUGGAGGUCUCAGCUCCAGGGGCCACAGCAGUGGUCCCACUUACGAGCUGGAAGAUUGAGCCUUCCAUCUGAGUCUUACGUCUUAUAACAGCAAAGGGCAUCAUGGAUCUUGGUUAACAAGGGGAAGUGUGGCUUCUGCAGCACAGUGAAGGCAGAGAGGGCAGCUGUGAUCUGAAGCAGUGUGCUUUUCAGUGAAGGGACAGAGGACACUGACCUACCUGGAUAAUGCGGUCUCCUUCUCGGAUGCGCCCGUCCUUGGCCGCGAUGCUGUUAGGGUCAAUCUGAAACACACGGCACCAAAGAAAUAAGACUCCAGUGUUGUGCCAGGAGACACAAACAUGGACUGAUACGUUUCCAAGCCCCUUGCAGGCCAUGGUCCUGGACUCUUGCCCCACAACCCUGCUGACCCUGCCCACCUGAGGGGAUGCAGAGGCACAGCUAACAGCUGUUCCACCCAGAAAGGAAAAGCAAAAGUAUGCUGGCCUACAGGGUGAAGAGUGACUGAGACAAGACGGCUGAGCUCUCGGCACAUCGCCUGGCCCAGAGAAGGUCUACAGAAAACAAUACUGUGGGAUAGCCCGUUUGCACGCCGCCCACAUAGUGGGCUCACAGCAUCCUCACGUUUCAGCCGCAUGCCCAAGUCUCCACCUCAGGUCACACUUCAUCGGGCGACAGACAAAGGGAAGACUUGCUCCGUUUCAGCGCUUCCUAACAGAUUUGUUACUUUUAUAACCAGAAAGAAGACUUUUUCAGAGCAAAUUCCCAAAGACAAGUGCACCCCGAUGUUCACUGGAGCACUAUCUACAACAGCCAAGACGUGGAAGCCACCAACAGAUGCGCUGACUGACGAGUGGAUAAACGAGAUAUGGCACACUGUACAAUGGACUGUGACUCGGUGAUUGGAAAAAACUGAACUAAUACCUUUCCUAGCAAAAUGGAUUAACUUGGAGAUGAUCAUACUAAGCAAAUGAAGUCAGAGAAUGACACACAAACAGAGUCACAAGCUUAGAAGACAAGCUCAUGGUCCCCAAAGGGAAGAGGUGGGUGGUGGGGAGGGAGGGAUAAGUUAGGAGGCAGCUGGGAUUAACCUGUACCCAGUGAUACCUGUGAAACAGGUACUCAGAAAGGACCUGCUGUAUGGCACAGGGAGCGCAAUGCUCUGUAAUAACCUAUAUGGGAAAAUAAUCCAGAAAAGAUUGAUUUCAUGUAUAUGUGUAAAUGAAUCAAUUGGCUGUACCCCUAAAAUAAACACAACACUCUAAGUCAACUACUUUCCAAUAUAAAAUAAACAAUCUAAAAAGAAAAAUAAAGACAAGUCAGUGAUACUCCCCUCGGGCCUUGGUGACCCGGGCUGCUCUCACGUCCUUGGAGCCUGAGGAACCCUGGGUCCAGAGGGCUCCACUGUGGUGGAAAUAAAGAGGCUGGGG